CUUCCAUAUAUAGAGCAUAAGAGGCAUCGUUCUGUUUACACAUAUAUCUUGCGUUGCUUCCUCCCCCUCUUCGGUGCUUCGAGAUUGCAAGGAAAAAAAUGUCAUCUAGCCAGUUCGCCUCGGAGCAUGUUUGCUAUGUAAACUGCAACUAUUGCAACACCAUCCUUGUGGUCAACAGUUCAAUUCAUGUAGUUUUGGGGAACAGGCCUUCGCUGCACACUCGUUGCUACAAUAAUUUAAUUUCCAUCAAGUUGUACAGUAUCCUUUUUGUCUUUUCAGUUGCCCACUUACAUUUUAGUUUGAACAUUCGGUGUUUUCAGUAAACUUCAUAGUGCAUCAAUAAGGUAACACUGAUGUUUUCCCUUCUCAAUAUUUUCACAACAUUAAAUAUGAAUACACGGAUCUGUUCAUACAUAUCAUCAGCAACAAGUACUAUAUUACUGCGUCGAUUUCUUUUGCACUGUCCAUUUCUGGUUUGUUUUGCCUUCUUCACUUUGGGCAGAUGUACCAUUUUUUCGGUAACAAAUGGAAAACUAUUUCUCCUUGAACUAUCUAGUUUUGUUCUUUUUAGUGGUGCUUUACUUGGGAUUAGAUCCAUAGACUAUCUCGCGUGCAUAACUGGGAUUAGCCACUACCCUUUGAUGCAAUGGUUUUAGAUAGCAAAUUAUAUCUCAAUUAAUUUGGUCUUAUCUUCACAUAUAAUUUCGCAGAAAUGUUCUGCACAAUGGCAGGUUUUCAUGCUUUCUAGAACUAAAUAAACUUAUCCCUGUAGAUCAAGAAAGAUACAGAAUGUUUCUUCAUUGGAUGUAAUUUGGGAAGGAAACCUGCUGCAUGGGAUAAUAGAUUUUCUGAGAGUAACGCUUUCUUUUUGAAACAACGAGCCUCCUCGAUUUCCAUUCAAGAAACCGCCAUAACCUAUUUUCUUUUUGUGUAUACAUUUCUGAGAGUAAUAAAUAGGAAAUAAUCUUCAUAUGUUCCUUGAAAUAUAAUUUUUUUUUUCAAGUCAAGACUAGACAUGCAUGCGUACAGGCUGCAGCUGAUUAAAUCCUCUUUGACCACAUAUUUGUUUAGUUUUUCAUGCGAUAUUACCCAGUACCGCUGCUUUACAAGAUAGCUUAGUUUGAGCCGUUACUACUUUAAUUAACUGAUAAAAUUUAAGCUGCCACAACCUUGAAUUCUAUCUCUCUCCUCUCCAAACAGAGUCAUUCUGCGGAUGUGGAGAGGGAAGUGGAUCUGCUUGUCAUGUCAUUUUCCUCUUUCUCGAUGUUUGGGCAGGUGGGGGUCUGUGUAUGUGUCAUGUGCUGAAAGAGAGGCUGGAUCGAGAGAGGGUGGCAUGAACUUUCACCUGUAUAAAGUUUCCGCUACUUUUUUACGUUUUCAUCAUGCAUGCCCUUACUAAGAGAGAGAGAGGAUGUUGUCGUUUUCGACCAGAGAUGUCAUUGCCUGUCACCUGGAGGAGAUGCCAUUUGCUUUCUCAUCAUACAUCAGGGUACGAUAUGGAUAUGAGAGCAUCUCCAGCAGUUGCCCUCCAGAGCGACGCCUAAAGGGACGAGUCGGCGUAAAAAAAGCCUGAGGUGAGUUGGUCCUCAGUCGUCGGUCUCAGGACCGCCCCAGAUGCGUCUAAUAUAAAAAAACGUUCGGCGAAGUUCGGUUAAACACGGCUAAAUUU